GUUGAAGAACGUAGCGAAAUGCGAUAAGUAAUGUGAAUUGCAGAAUUCAGUGAAUCAUCGAAUCUUUGAACGCACAUUGCGCCCGCCAGUAUUCUGGCGGGCAUGCCUGUUCGAGCGUCAUUUCAACCAUCAAGCCCCCGGCUUGUGUUGGGGACCUGCGGCUGCCGCAGGCCCUGAAAACCAGUGGCGGGCUCGCUGUCACACCGAGCGUAGUAGAUUUUCAUCUCGCUCAGGGCGUGCUGCGGGUUCCGGCCGUAAAAAGCCUUAUUUACCCAAGGUUGACCUCGGAUCAGGUAGGAAGACCCGCUGAACUUAAGCAUAUCAAUAAGCGGAGGA
rnacentral:misc_RNA from 1 species